rnacentral:rRNA from 1 species
CGGUGGAGCAUGUGGUUUAAUUCGAUGCAACGCGAAGAACCUUACCUGGUCUUGACAUCCACAGAACUUGCCAGAGAUGGCUUGGUGCCUUCGGGAACUGUGAGACAGGUGCUGCAUGGCUGUCGUCAGCUCGUGUUGUGAAAUGUUGGGUUAAGUCCCGCAACGAGCGCAACCCUUAUCCUUUGUUGCCAGCGGUUAGGCCGGGAACUCAAAGGAGACUGCCAGUGAUAAACUGGAGGAAGGUGGGGAUGACGUCAAGUCAUCAUGGCCCUUACGACCAGGGCUACACACGUGCUACAAUGGCAUAUACAAAGAGAAGCGACCUCGCGAGAGCAAGCGGACCUCAUAAAGUAUGUCGUAGUCCGGAUUGGAGUCUGCAACUCGACUCCAUGAAGUCGGAAUCGCUAGUAAUCGUAGAUCAGAAUGCUACGGUGAAUACGUUCCCGGGCCUUGUAC